AGAACUUUAUCACAAUAUUCUAAUUUUCUGAGACAGUCCUGUAGGACUUUUGGGGAAAGAAAAGCAGUAACUGUGUUAAAUCUCACUUGUUUAAUUUUGUACUUGUUCAAAUAGUUGCUAUUUCCAAGAGGUUUAAAUUAUCCAGGUUCUCUGCCUAGAUUACCACCCAGUGCGAUUCAACGCAUUUUCUCACAUGAUAUGCAAAUGCAACAGAAAAAGCAGCAGCACAAAGAGACUGCCUGGAAUCUUUCUGGCGGUUUCCUGCUUUGUUACACACUUGUGCAUCUUAUUUUUCAUAGCUGUGCCUGCAAAUGUACCCAUCAGCACUUUCAUCUUUGUUGAGACCAAUUUUUAAAAUGACUCAUUUGUUUCUGUCCCACUGAGUAGGUAAAAGACACGGUGCUAAAUGAUGAUGACAUCGGGGACAGCUGCCACGAGGAUUUCCUCCACAAAGCCGUCAGCUCUCAUCUGCAGACUUGCGGCUGUUCAAUAGUAGUUGGAAGCAACCCGGAGAAAGUAAAUAAGAUUGUGCGGACUCUCUGCCUCUUCCUCACCCCAGCAGAGAGGAAGUGCUCCCGCCUCUGCAAGGCUGACUCUUCUUUCAAAUAUGACACAGGCCUUUUUGUUCAGGGCCUGCUAAAGGUAGCUACCACCUCACUCUCAUUAUACAGCA